rnacentral:misc_RNA from 1 species
CCAAAGAUGGUGGGCCCCCGCGCCCCCGUCCCCAACCCAGUGUUGACUAAAACCUUUUUGCCUCGGGGGCAGAGCGUCCGCCGCCGCCCCCGGAGGACCAUUAAACGCUGUCUCGUUGCGUCAGAGUAAUUGAUAUAAAUGAAUGA